rnacentral:rRNA from 1 species
AGCUCCAAUAGCGUAUAUUAAAGUUGUUGCAGUUAAAAAGCUCGUAGUUGGAUUUGUGGUGUACUUCGGCGGCCCGUCACUACGUGAUGGAGCUUGCUGAAGUCGCCAUCCUUGGGUGGAUCCUGUGUGGCAUUAAGUUGUCGCGCAGGGGAUGCCCAUCGUUUACUGUGAAAAAAUUAGAGUGUUCAAAGCAGGCUUACGCCGUUGAAUAUGUUAGCAUGGAAUAAUAAGAUAGGACCUUGGUACUAUUUUGUUGGUUUGCGCACCAAGGUAAUGAUUAAUAGGGACAGUUGGGGGUAUUCGUAUUUCAUUGUCAGAGGUGAAAUUCUUGGAUUUUUGAAAGACGAACUACUGCGAAAGCAUUUACCAAGGAUGUUUUCAUUAAUCAAGAACGAAAGUA